UGGAUUAAUAUUGAAGAGAACUCUGCUGGCGCUCUAAAAUGGGGUUCAGCUCUUGGAGCGAUCAUCUUCAUCCUGUGCCUCGCCAUCUGUGUUUGGUGCUUGAAGUCCAAAUGUCAAACUCCACAACCAACUCAGAGUCCAAAUGGUGAAGAUCCAGCCAGCAAAAGAGAAGAAGACAUCCAUUAUGGAGAGAUCAGCUUCUCCAAUCAGAGAGCUGAAGCGUCCUCGUCCUCAGAGCAGGACAGUGGACAGCAGCAGGAGACGCUGUAUGCACAGGUCAAAGUGUCCAAGACAGCAGAGAAGCCAGACGUCCCCGAGGAUCUCUACGCUCAAGUGAAGAAACACUGAGUCUCUCUUCUCAUCAUGUUGGGUUGGAUUAUUCAUAAUAUUGCCAUUUUUGGCUUCUUUUAUUUUCACUCUUAGUUCAUGUUGAAAAGGACACAGAAGCCUGUGCAGGAAAUUACACCUUCACAGUUAAAUAAAGAGGAACUCUAAACCUCCUCAGCACCCUGCAGCACAGACAGCUUUGCACUUCCUCAUUAUAUAAUCUAUGUUUGUGGCUUAACUCAUACAGCUGUUGCUGUGUAACGAUAUCUUACAUAUCUACAUGCAUCAAUGCUUCUAAAUGACAACAUGAUAAUGAUUUACAAUCACUUUAUAGUAUAUAGUUGUUUUGUAAUGUUUAUGUAAUUUUGU